GGCACUAUAGCCAAGUGGUUACGGCGACAGAUUUGAAUCUUCAUGAUAUCUGUUCCUCUUUGAGGGCGCAGGUUCGAACCCUGCUGGUGUCG